rnacentral:lncRNA from 1 species
UAGAUUUCUCAUAGAGAACUCUUGGUUCUUUGAGAAGAUGUUUGUGGUUGAAUCCCCCAAGGAUCUAUAGAACCCAGUUUGAGAAAAGACAACUUAGAAGAAUGUAAGACUUCAAGGAAAGUGCUUAACAAAUAAAGAUUUAAGUGAAGAAAAAUAGUAUAGCAUAUAUGAAUGUUCGGUUGGCUAAUUAACUUAUUAACCUAUUAUUAUGGCAAAAGACCAUUGAGAUUUUGUUAAAUAGGCUUUCUUAUCUGAAACUUAAAUUCCAGUCAAAGGAAUUUGUGGCUAUUUAUUCCUGCAUUGUCCUUAAUAGGACACAGUGUUAUUGAUAGGAAACAGUGUUAUUCUCUUUAAGAUGAUAAGAAAAGUCAGGGUCAACAUUUAAAAAGAGAGGACAGAAGAUGAGAAGACAGAAAAGAAGAAAAGAGGACAGGGAGAAGGAGGGGAAAGGGAGGAGAGGGAGGGAAGAGGACAGAGAGGAGAGGAGAGGCUAGAUAGGUAGCUAUAGUUUGUAUGGGAAACAAAAGGAUUGAGAAGACAUUCUAGACUUUGAGGCUUGUGGAAAGAGAGAUGAGGGAAACCAAAGCCUUCAAGGCAGAAAAGCAGACAAAGAUAUAAAGAAUACUCUUCCAUAUUUUCAGGCAACUAGUCUUUGAUGCAAUAUUUCAUGCCUUGCUUACAUUUCAGUUGGUAAAAACCAUAUAUAUAUUUACCCUCAACACUAGUGAAGAAUAUGUUGUUUUCUUAAUAACUUGCUCUAGUGCAAUUGCCCUACCAUCUUAACAUUAUUCUGUAUUCAUCUGACUGUACUACUUGAAAAGAAUACACAAUCAGAAUCAAGCAUUAAGAAGUACUGCAAAUUGACAUAUUUCAUAGACUAUAUGUAAAUUGAAAUUCCCUAAGAUCACCUGCUUGUUUUCCCAAAAAUUCAUUUCAAUGGCAAUCCCCAAAGUCUAGGAAAUUACUCAGUCUCAAAGAAUUCAGCCACUACUUCUGUGUCUCUUAAAUAGUCCCUGAAUUUGGGAUCUUGAGGAUCAGGGAGUGUCACACACAUAACCAGAAUUUCUGCAGGUGUCUUUAACUUGCUGAUUUGUAGCUCUUCAUGCAAGCUGGACAUACUGCAAAUAUCUACUUCAGUUGUGACUUGCUUUCAUUUUCUCUUUGGUGUAUUUACAUGAAGAGAAAUUCUUCUAUAAAUUAGAACUUACCAAUUUCUGUUUGCAUGUUUUACAUUUGUUUAAGAAAGCCCAGCUUUGCACUUAUAAUAGUCUAUAAUUAUCCCUACAAAUCCAACACUCUCAUUUCUCAGAUGUCCAGGUUACAUUGGUCUGUUCCUAUUAGCAAUGUAUUCUGCUCCAUUGGUCAAUGUCUCCAUCUCUCACAGUACAACAAAAUCUUGAGUAUUAUAGCUUUAUAACAACUCUUAUUAUCUAGUAAGGCAAUCCCUCUCCCACUUUAUUUUUGUUUAAGGAUAAUUUUGACCCAUUCUUGGCAUGUAUUUCUGCUAUGUAAAUUUUAGAAUCAUCUCGUCAAGUUCCUCAAAAAUAUUCUAUCAAGAUUUUGAGUGGAAGUUCUUGAAUGUCCUGUGGAUUGCUUAGAGCAAAUUAUCAUCUUUAACAGUCUGAGUCUAAUGAAUACGAAAUGUCUCACAAUUUAUUUAGAUCUUCUAUAAUAUCUUUCAAGACAUAUUUUUAAUUUUUUCUGUAGAGGUUAUGUAACUUUGAUUCCAAUGUACCCUUUUUAAGAAAAAUCAGUAUUGUUUAUUUCUUUUGGUUAAUUGGCUUAGAAUAAUUUGUCCAUCCUUUUAUAUAAAA